AGACAGAGUCUUACUCUAUCACCAAGGCUGGAAUGCAGUGGUGUGAUUAUGGCUCGCUGCAGCCUCGACCUCCUGGGCUCAAGUGAUUCUCCCACUUCAGCCUCCCCAGUAGUUGGGACUACGGGCGCUCAUUGCCACACCGGGCUAAAUUUUUUAUUUUUAGUAGAGAUGGAGUCUUGCUCUGUUGCCUAGGCUGGUCUCGAACUCCUGGGCUCAAGUGAUCCUUCUACUUCAGCCUCCCAAAGUACUGAGAUUACAGGCCUGAGUCAUCAUGCCCAGCCGGAUUUUUUUUUCUUUUCUUCUUUUUCGGUUUUUGUUUUGUUUUGUUUCAUUUUGUUUUGUAGAGACAAGGUCUUGCUAUGUUGCCCAGGCUGGUCUUAAACUCCUGGGCUCAAGCAACCCUCCUGCCUUGGCCUCCCAAGUGCUGGGAUUACAGGCACGAGUGACGGCACCUGGCCCCUUGACUUCCUUUCCAUCAAGAGACUAAGAAUCAGGCCAGGAGGGAGAGGUUCAGGUGAAGUUUACAUGCAAACCCAACUAGGUCAAAUCCAGCAUACCCAGGCCUGGUGGAACCACGUGGAGCAGAACAGGCCCUUGACCAGUCCUGAGAAUCCAGUGUUUCAACAGGAGGUUCUGUGUUAGGGAACUAAAAACCCUCCCCAAAGUGGCUUCAACAAAGGAAUUGUUUAGUUACACAGCAAUAAUCCAGCAGCAUGGUGGCUGCCAGGGUUGCUUCACUCAGUGGCUCAUCAGCAGUAUCAAGGGCCCUGGUAGGGUUGAGAUGGCUGUGGCAUUUCCAUGUGGGCAUCAGCAGAAGAAUGACCAUUCUCACCAAUGUUUCCUUUCAUGCAUUAAAAAAUAAAAAUAAAAAAAAAUUUUAAAAAACUCUCCUCCACUGGCCACCCCUCAUAUCCCACUGGCCAGGAGUGGGCAGCCACAUGGCUAUGAUCAACCAGUGAUUGCAAAGGGAACGUCACUGGCCUAGACCAGUCAUGAGCGACAUUGUCUCAAGAGCAGGCUGCUCAGAUGAGCAAGAACAAAACUGGAUUCAGGAAGCAAGGAUGACUUUGGAUAGGCAAACAGAGUGUCUUCCACACCCAGUGCCUACCUGAAGAAGGGCUUAAUGCUUCGUAACAAUAUUUCCAAGUGUAGCCUUUUCUCCAGCCCCAAAACCCUUUUGAGAAUAACCAUCAAACUACCAGCAUUCUUCAGUUUUCAUUUAGAUAUUUGAUCUUCAGUUUUUACGUAGGGCACUUUCAACCAUUCUCUUGGAGGCCAGAUUCAACCCUGGACAAUGCUUCUGGGAAUAUUCAAAGACACAAACACAAAUUUGUAUAUUUGUAUUCAAAUAUACAAAUAAAUGUUCCACCAUAUAUCAAAAGUAUGCUCUCCAAAAGGACAAAUACUCUAUGACUCCACCUACAUGAGGUGCCCAGAAUUGCCAAAUUCACAACAGAAAGUACACAAGAGAUUAGGAGUGGGAGUGAUGGGGAGUGUUCUGAAUGUGUGUCCCCAAAAGCCAUAUAUUGAAUCCCUAACUCCCAGUUUGAUGGUAUUUGGAGAUGGGGGCCUAGGGAGUGAUUAGCUUUAGAUGAAGACCUGAGGGUGAAGCCUCCAUGAUGGGAUCAGUGUCCUUCUAGGAACAGGAAGAAACCAGAACUUUCUCUCCACCAUGUGAGGACACAGAAAGAAGGUGGCCGUCUGCAAGCCAAGAAUAGAGCCCUCACCAGAACCUGGAACCUGACCAUGCUGACAACCUGGUCUUGAACUUCCCAGCCUCCAGAACGGUAAGAAGUAAAUUUCCAUUUUUUUCUAUAUAUGGGAAAAUAAAUUUAGAUUUUAUUUCUAUUGCUUAAGCCAUCCAGUCUAUGGUAUUUUGUUACGGCAGCCCAAGUUGACUAAGUCAGGGAGUUAGUGAAUUUCAUUUUGGGGUGAUGAAAAAGUUUGAGAUGGAUAGUGGUGAUGGUUACACAACAAUAUGAAUGCACUUAAUGCCACUGAACUGUAAACUCAAAAAUGAUUAAAAUGGUAAACAUUAUGUUACGUAUAAUUUACCACAAUAUUUAAAAAUGAAUGCUCCCACAGGUCUUAUAGUGUCUGUCUUACAGGUAUGGAAACCAAAGUGCAAUCAGGCACUUGAAUGAUGCACCCAGCAUCUUCCAUGCAAGUUAUGGGUGGAGGUAGAAUUGGAACCCAGGUCACCUAACUCCAAGGACGGUGUGCCCCUUCCGCAGCUCAGAUGCCUCUCCCAACUCAGGCCACAUGUAGAAGGAAAAUCCAAGCAUGAGAGGCAGUUCACCAGCAACGGAAAUCAGAUCUCUUGUGGUUAUUAUUAGCAGGGCGAGCAGCCGGGUGUGGAGGGGACCAGCUGUGAAACUCUCAUGGGAGGGGAAGCCAAGGUGAAGUGGAGGGAACUCGUGCCCCCACAUCACAGCAGCAAGCUCUGCAGUUACAGAGACCUCAAACUUUCCAUCAACAAUCCUCACUCGCAGCCUCUUAGCUCUUGGGGGAAAAUUAACACAGGUCCCAGGGCUGAGAUUUUCCAUGUUUAGUUUCAACCCAAAGGAAAAUUUUGUUAGAAAGUUGAAAGAGUGUGACUAUUUUUAAAUAACGAGACGUGGGGCCAUAGUGUCAGCACAGUCAAAAAGGUAAAAAACAUUUGUAUCUUGCUUUCUUCCACCCUCCCCUUCAAUUCAGAUGGAUAGACUGCAGAAGAAAACAAGGGAAGUUAACACUUCAUUCAGAGCUUGCCAAAUGUCAGGAACUUGCUUUAUCCUGGACCAGGAGUUCUCAACUAUGCACCGUGGGACAUCUCUCUGCCAUAUCUUGCAUCACACUUGGAUGGUGUAAUGGAAAUAACAUUAGACUGGGAGUCAGGAGACUUGUGUUCCAGCAGAAGGGAAAAAGAAGUCUCAGAGUGGAAUAUUGCAACAUCCCAUAUUCUCCCGAGAAGGGCUGCUGGAUUCCCUUGCUGAUGAGGAAUUACCAUGGGGUCACCUUGCUACAUGGUUCAUCACUGUCAUCCCUCCCUUCAGAAAAAUUAAAUCAUUCAAAGGUCACAUAAGAGGUCAAUGGCAGAAUAAAGGCAGUAGGGGACAAAAAAACAUAAGUGAAAUUCCCAAAUUUUUAGUCCUCUAGUUCAAAUUACUAGACAAUAACCCCUUUAUUAGAAAUGUCUUCUUAUGGCUGGGUGCGGUGGCUCACGCCUGUAAUCCCAACACUUUGGGAGGCCAAGCCACGCAGAUCAUAUGAGGUCAGGAGUUCAAGACCAGCCUGGCCAACAUGGUGAAACCCAUCUCUACUAAAAAUACAAAAAAUUAACCGGGUGUGGUGGCGCAUGCCUGUAAUCACAGCUACUUGGGAGGCUGAGGCAGGAGAAUUGCUUGAACCCAGGAGGCAGAGGUUACAGUGAGCCAAGAUUGUGUCACUGCACUCCAGCCUGGACAACAAGAGCGAGACUCCAUCUCAAAAAAAAAAAAGAAAGAAAAGAAAUGUUUUAUUAGACAGGUGGGUGUAGUGACUCAUGCCUGUAAAUCCCAGGACUUUGGGAGGCAAAGGUGGGAGGAUUGUUUUAGCCCAGGAAUUCAAGACCAGCCUGGACAACAGAAUGAGACUCCAUUUCUAUAAUAAAUAUUAAAUUUUUUAAAAAAUGAAAUGUUUUAUUAUAACAAAUAUGACUUUUUAAAAAAUCAAUUGCUCAGAAGGAAGCAUGGGAUGAAAACCAACCAACCAAACAAACAAACAAAAAACAAUUAGGCUGGGCGUGGUGGCUCAUGCCUGCAAUCCUAGCACUUUGGGAGGCCGAGGAGAGAGGAUCACUUGAGCCCAGGAGUUCAAGACCAGUCUGGGCAACACAGGGAGACCCUGUCUCUACAAAAACAAAACAAAACAUAACAAAAUAUUAGCUAGGCAUGGUGGUGCACACCUGUGGUCCCAGCUACUUGGGAGGCUGUGGUGGGAGGAUCACUUGAGCCCGGGAGGCUGAAGCUGCAGUGAGCCAUGAUCAUGCCACUGCACUCCAGCCUGGGUAACAGAGUGAGACCCUGUCUCAAGAAAAACCACAUAACGGCCCAGUGCGGUGGCUGACGCCUGUAAUCUUAGCACUUUGGGAGGCCAAGGUAAGUGGGUCACCUGAAGGUAGGAGUUCGAGACCAGCCUGGCUAACAUGAUGAAACCCCGUCUCUACUAAAAAUACAAAAAGAAAUUAGCUGGGUGUGAUGGUGGGCACCUGUAAUCCCAGCUAUUCAGGAGGCUGAGGGUAGGAGAAUCACUUGAACCCGGGAGGCAGAGGUUGCAGUGAGCUGAGAUCGCGCCACUGCACUCCAGUCUGGGCAACAAGAGCAAGACUCUGUCUCAAAAACAAACAAAAAUACACAUAGAAAAACCAAUUGGAAUAUCUUUUGUCUUUCUCAUUUGUCCUUAUGCCUCUCAAACAAAGAGCUCUCACAACACAUUAUCUCCAAUUCUUCCAUUGCUUUCUUUUAGAACUCUUCUCUUUUUGUCUCCAGCCUUUCAAGAUUCCAUCUUCACAGGCCAAUUUCAGACUUUUCAAAGCAUUUUUUCCCAUACUGGCUUCUGGGAAAAGGUAGAAAUUCCUAUAUACCAAAAGUCAGCAAACUACUGCCCAGAGGCCAAAUCUGGCCCUCAGCCUAUAUUUGUAAAUAAAGUUUUAUUGGAACACAGCCACUACCAUUAAUGUAUAUAUAUCAUCUGUGGCUGCUUUUGUGCUCCAACUGCAGAGCUAAGUAGUUGCCACAGAGACUGCAUGACCCAAAAAGCUUAAAAUAUUUACUAUAUGUCUCUUUAAAGAAAAGUUUGCUGACAUCUGUGCUAUGUGCAAAAAAAAAAAAAAAAAAAAAAAAAUCAAUCUCAUGAGAAGUUGCUUUUAAAGUGAAUUUUUAUAAAUAGUAUUGCAUCUCUACUCCAAAUGCAGGACUGUGGCUGCCCUGUCCCAUGUCCUAAUCAGCACAAGACAAGGCACCCAACUGGACUCAACAAUUAUUUGCUGAGCCAAAUGAAUGAAUUACUAAUGAAAUGAAGGGGGAAACUGGGAUGAGACCCUGUGUAAUUUUUUUUUUUUUUUUUUGAGACGGGGUCUUACUCUGUCACCCAGGCUGGAGUGCAGUGGUGUGAUCAUGACUCACUGCAGCCUUAACCUCCCAGGCUCAAGCCAUCUUCCCACUUCAGCCUCCCAAGUAGCUGGGACUACAGGUGCAUACCACCAUGUCCGGCUAAGUUUUGUAUUUUUGGUAGAGAUAGGGUUUCACCAUGUUGCCCAGGCUGGUCUCAAACUCCUGGGCUCAAGCUAUCCUCCCACCCCGGCCUCCGUGGUGCUGGGAUUACAGGCAUGAGCCACUGUGCCCAGCGAGACCAUAUAUAGACUAAAAAUGUCUUUUCAAAAAAAGUGACCAAGUCUCCAAAGAAUCAGUGAGGCUCAGUUUUCUCAUCUAUAGGUGAAAAACCAACAUUUUCCACCCUUUGUACUUUGCAGCGUAGGCUGUGGCCCGUGAACCUGAAAGUGUCAUACACCCUAGCAGGUGCCAAGCACGUAAGCUCUCUGCAUGAAGACCUGGGUCCAAAUCCGACUCACCACCCACUACCUGUGAGAUUUGGGUCAAGUCCCACAUCUCUCUGAACCUUGUAUCCUCAUCUAUAAAUUGAGAAUUCUAACACCCACUCCAAAUGAACUGUUGUGAGACUCAGGUGGGAUAAAACAAGAUCAAGAGAGCACCUAGGAGUACCCAGAACUACCAAAAACAAGUAGGUGCUUGCUUUUCACAAUAUCUGGGAGAGAGGUAAAAUCAAGGCCAAGAAUACGGUAAGGAGAGUGAGGCAUUCACUUUGGGUGCAAAAUUUAAGGAGGCUCCAAAAACUCAGUAACCAAGAUAAAUAUAUUU
rnacentral:lncRNA from 10 species